UCCCACAUGGUCUAGUGGCUAAAAUUUCUGGCUUUUACCCAGAAGGUCCGUGUUCGAUUCCCGGUGUGGAAA